GGAUGCGAUCAUACCAGCACUAAAGCACCGGAUCCCAUCAGAACUCCGAAGUUAAGCGUGCUUGGGCGAGAGUAGUACUAGGAUGGGGCGAGAGUAGUACUAGGAUGGGUGACCUCCU
rnacentral:rRNA from 18 species